rnacentral:rRNA from 1 species
AGUUUGAUCCUGGCUCAGAACGAACGCUGGCGGCAGGCUUAACACAUGCAAGUCGAACGCCCCGCAAGGGGAGUGGCAGACGGGUGAGUAACGCGUGGGAAUCUACCCAUCUCUGCGGAAUAGCUCUGGGAAACUGGAAUUAAUACCGCAUACGCCCUACGGGGGAAAGAUUUAUCGGGGAUGGAUGAGCCCGCGUUGGAUUAGCUAGUUGGUGGGGUAAAGGCCUACCAAGGCGACGAUCCAUAGCUGGUCUGAGAGGAUGAUCAGCCACAUUGGGACUGAGACACGGCCCAAACUCCUACGGGAGGCAGCAGUGGGGAAUAUUGGACAAUGGGCGCAAGCCUGAUCCAGCCAUGCCGCGUGAGUGAUGAAGGCCUUAGGGUUGUAAAGCUCUUUCACCGGUGAAGAUAAUGACGGUAACCGGAGAAGAAGCCCCGGCUAACUUCGUGCCAGCAGCCGCGGUAA